rnacentral:rRNA from 1 species
GACGAACGCUGGCGGCGUGCCUAAUACAUGCAAGUAGAACGCACAGUUUAUACCGUAGCUUGCUACACCAUAGACUGUGAGUUGCGAACGGGUGAGUAACGCGUAGGUAACCUGCCUGGUAGCGGGGGAUAACUAUUGGAAACGAUAGCUAAUACCGCAUAAUAUUGAUUAUUGCAUGAUAAUUGAUUGAAAGAUGCUAUUGCAUCACUACCAGAUGGACCUGCGUUGUAUUAGCUAGUAGGUGAGGUAACGGCUCACCUAGGCGACGAUACAUAGCCGACCUGAGAGGGUGAUCGGCCACACUGGGACUGAGACACGGCCCAGACUCCUACGGGAGGCAGCAGGAGGGAAUCUUCGGCAAUGGACGAAAGUCUGACCGAGCAACGCCGCGGGAGUGAAGAAGGUUUUCGGAUCGUAAAGCUCUGUUGUAAGAGAAGAACGGGUGUGAGAGUGGAAAGUUCACACUGUGACGGUAUCUUACCAGAAAGGGACGGCUAACUACGUG